UCACAUGUAAGACAUUAAUAAUAAUUGAUAAAACCUUUGUGUUUGCUCUAUUUGUGUCUUGAAUCUGAGACCUUCCCCUCCAGCAAAGCCUGCGAGGCAAAUAUUUGCAUUUUUGGAAUUUCUUGAAGGACGUGGAUGAGUCUGUUUACCUUCAGGCUCAUUAGAACCAGCUUGCCUGGUGGAAGCCAAGAUGGAAGUUGAAUUUUGAUUUUUUCUCUCCACCAUAGAGACAGAUUCUGAGACUUAUGUUGCUGCCAGAUGUGAGCACAGUCUUUCACAAACUGGAUGCACUGCAUCUGGAUUUAAGCAGACAGAGUUAAACAGAUUACAUUAUUGUUUACAAUAUUCACAUACAACUAGUGAGUGAUUUCUUUUUGGACCCUAUUUUCCUAAAACUGAACUGGGCAGAUUCUUAAGAUCGUUUAGACAGACAGACACACCUGUCUGUCUGGUAUAUAAGCCAGAGUCACAACAGGGACAUCAUAAACAGUAACUUCACUGUUACACAUUACUGUUUCUGACUUUAAGAGCAGAGGUAAGUUAUUAUUUAAAAUCUCUUUUCAGCUUUUACUAACAAUUAAAAACGGAUAAUUGAUUUUUAUCAUAAAACGAAAAGCAGAGGAUUGCACUAAGCCUGAGUUUUCUUUUUCAGAAAAUGAAAGCUCCGAUUGUGUUCCUCCUCUUUGCUCUCAUGGUUGGGCUUAAUGCAAUGCCAACUGAUACUGCUGGGGACCGAAAAGUUAUUCCAGGGGAUUUGGCCCUAAAAAUGUUGGAGCCUGAUUUCUUCAACUUCCCUGUUACAAAAGGCAGUCCAAUCUCAGCGAGAAAGAAAGGACAAACUUAAGAAAAGAUGUCCAUGAGUGUGAAGGGAAACAGCUUUGAAAACCUCCCUCUAAAUCUGGCCCACGGUGUUUGAGCCAAAAUAUGUUGAAUAAAUAAACACAACAAUGAAA